rnacentral:rRNA from 1 species
GAUGAACGCUGGCGGCGUGCCUAAUACAUGCAAGUCGAGCGAACAGGCGAGGAGCUUGCUCCUCUGACGUUAGCGGCGGACGGGUGAGUAACACGUGGAUAACCUACCUAUAAGACUGGGAUAACUUCGGGAAACCGGAGCUAAUACCGGAUAAUAUAUUGAACCGCAUGGUUCAAUAGUGAAAGACGGUUUUGCUGUCACUUAUAGAUGGAUCCGCGCCGCAUUAGCUAGUUGGUAAGGUAACGGCGUACCAAGGCAACGAUGCGUAGCCGACCUGAGAGGGGGAUCGGCCACACUGGAGCUGAGACACGGUCCAGACGCCUACGAGAGGCAGCAGUAGGGAAUCGUCCGCAAUGGGCGAAAGCCUGACGGAGCAACGCCGCGUGAGAGAUGAAGGUCUUCGGAUCGUAAAACUCUGUUAUUAGGGAAGAACAAAUGUGGAAGUAACUAUGCACGUCUUGACGGUACCUAAUCAGAAAGCCACGGCUAACUACGUG